rnacentral:lncRNA from 1 species
AGAAUAAUAAUUAUCAUCCUUAUUUAAAAUGUAACGUAUCUUUUGGAUUUUCAAGAAGGCGUAUAUCAUUCCAAUUUAUUUAUACAAUAUUCAGGUCUCAUUUCAUUUCCAUCUCUUUGUGUCUUCAAAUCUAGUUUAAAAGUCUUAUCUUUUUAUUUAAAAAAUAUCUACAAAAACCUUCAACGAAGAUGAAAAUCUUCCGUUCGUUAUCAAUGAAAAGUUUGUUGAUUUCGAAGAGUUAAAAGACCAGGAUUUUGAUCUAAUGAAAACUAUUUCCAAACAUAAGUUGAAAGAUUACUUUGACAUGCUUCAUGGACCCAUCUACACUAAUCUCGUAACAGAGUUCUGGUUAAAUAUCUCUGUUAGGCAAUCUGAUGAGGAUGCCAAGUUAAUACAGUCCAAUGUAUAUAGCUUUCCUAUCACCAUUACUCCAUCAUUUUUUCUCAGACAAUAAAGUGUGAAAAGAAAUGCAAUUGUGUUGAACAAUAUAGAUUCAACAAUGUCUUUUCAAACCACCUUCUCCUAAUUUAUGUCAACUACAAUAACCUCACCAGUCCUGCUACUCUCAUCCCAAUUGCAAAAGUUUGGCAUCAACUUCUAGUGGCAAAUCUCCGUCCAAGAGUGAAACAAAUAAAAACGCCUACUUCAGAUGACAAGCAUCUUGUGUACUUCCUUAUCCACAACGUCAAAAUUAAUCUUCUUCUUACUAUUUUUAACUUCUUAAUUGAAAUCAUUGUGACUUCUCGCGAGAAAAUAACUUUUCUCAUACCAUACAGAAGAGUUCUUUCUGAAUUUUUCUCUCGUUUUGGGGUAGUUAAAAGGGUAAAAAGAGUAGGAUUAAAAGUUGAAGUUGAGUUGAAUCAGAAUUUUGAAUAUGUUGAAUAGUUAUUUGUUCUAUUUUUUUGUUAUUUGUUGUCCUACUUCUCUGAUUAUAAAUGAAAUUUUUCCUUUCCUUUUCAAUUGUAUUAUUGCGUAAUUUUUUAUUGAAAAUAAAGAAUUUGUGUUUUACCAAUUAACUUAGAGAAAAAUGUAACAAAGAAAAAAUG